UCUCUGGAGCAGUUAUGUUUCUCUAGAGAUUCACCAUUAUCUCAGAAUCAAAAUCUGGAACCUUCGUGAUCUGGCUGAAGUCAGGAAGUUUCAGGCAAGGAAAUCAAGGAAGAUCUUCGGGCUUUAAACCACGGUCGAAGCUGAUAUCUAACCUGCAAUCACUGAAAAGUAGACAAUACAAUCCACCCUCUUCAGCAGGAAGCAGUUACACCCUUCUAAGCCCCAUGACCCUUCUGUCAUUCUUGCCGCUGACCUGGAAGGUGAGAAAGCUUUGACUUCUGUAGAGACAUCAUAAUGUUUUGUCUAUUUUUGGUUUACUUCAUAAGCUCUAUAUACAAAAAAGCUAAUUGGUCUAGCAAUGACUCACGGUGCCCAAAUUAGGCAAAAAGUUGUAAUAAAGAUAUUUUCUCUUAGAAAUUGGUCAUUGAAGGAGGGGUAUGUACAACUUUAAUUUGAUUUAAUUUAAUCAAAACGAACAUACAUUGCAGGUGUAAAAUGUCAAAGUGCUGAGCUAGCUAAGUAAAACUGGGUUUCCAUGUUGUCAGCUCUUUUGCUCUAGACAUUGUGUGGUCAGGGAACUCGGAGAAGAAUGGGGGUGGGGGAGGGGCUAGAACAGGAUGUCACCACAGAGAAUACGGGAACUAGAAUAGGAUGUCUAUUUAGCUUAAAGCAAGGGGAUUAUAAGAAGCCCUUUUGGCUACAGUCAAAGAAUUGCAAGGUUUUCGGUAUGGCAGGUGAAAACAAAGGCGUCUAAUUUCUUCACUGUUAAGAUCAAAUGGAAGGGAUGCUUGCAUUUGCCUGGUUAGCAGAGUAUUCAAAAUCAAGCCGUUUCUAUCAGGACAACUUCUUUGCCUCUCUCAGAGGGAAGGAAAUGAACCAGAACUGGAAAAGAGCCUCUGUUCUCCCUUCCAGUUGAUGCCGAGAAGAGACUGGUGCUUAAGUUCGUGAGGUCCAAGUGAAGAUGCCUCCUCCACCCCACUCCGGCCACCCCCACCCCUGUUUCCAUUCUCUUCCUCUAUAGGGCGCUGACCCAAUUCCCCAGGCUGUGUAGGGACCCAGCCAUUGUCACAGAAGCUCUGCUGUUUUUUAGGUGCUGCAGCUGUCUUCUCUAGCCCUCUAUCAUGUUCUUGAGAUCACAGCCCCUAACUUCUAACCUCAGAAGCCUAGCUAUCCUUACGGUCCAGUGUAGCAUAACCCGAUGUCUGUCUGCUUUUGUAGCCCAUAACAGAGAGAGAGAGAGAGAGAGGGAGAGAGAGAGAGAGAGAGAGAGAGAGAGAGAGAGAGAGAGAGAGAGAGCCCUGCAGAGGCUGACCAUGGGAGGGGGUGUGGGAGAGGGGCAGAGACAACGUGCGUUUCUCUAUAAGGGCCUCGGGUGAAUUUUAUGUGAUAUUGAUGUGUCCUUGAAUUGCAUAUUUUGUGGAUUUGCAGAGCCAACUGCAGAGGCUGGAGCUCCAUAGAGUCAUAGGAACUUCCUGUCCCCGCCCCGAACCUCGUUGGCUCCUUCCUGUUGGGGGAGCUAUAGAGCACACUCAAGCUACCCCCACCCCAGUUCCCCUGUCUGUGGACCUGUGCCAGAGCGACAGAGGCUUCUGAAGAGAGAUUUUUAUACACUUAUCCUAAAAUCUCAUUUUACCUUGGCUUCAAAGGGUCGGAUUGCUGGAGAGAUGGCUCAGAGGUUAAGAGCACUGACUGCUCUUCCAGAGGUCUUGAGUUCAAAUCCCAGCAACCACAUGGUGGUUCACAGCCAUCUGUAAUGGGAUCUGAUGCCCUCUUUUGGUGUGUCUGAAGAAAUGUACACAUACGCCUAAAACAAAGGGUCAGAUAAAUGGGUCUUAAACAAACAAACGAAAAGAAGGCUACUCUUCUCUUAGGGAUUUCAGAACUCAGAAGGAUGUCUUGAAAAAGAGGCGAGAAACCUUUUGUUCUUGUGGAUAAGAGGGUUAGGACUCAUGCUAAAUUGUAACUUCUCCCCAACGGGUCUGUUCUGUGAAACUCCCCCUUGAAUCACACGUUUAGGAUGAUAGUGGAAGAGACCAUAGAAGAUUGAGGUCCACGGGCUGCCACUUCUAGCUGUUUAUGGUAACUGGGUCUCCGAGCCCCUGCUGGGUGGAAAAUAGGCUGCAUUUAAGUGGGAAUUGAGACGACAGCACGUGUGGGAAUCACGUGCCUUUUCCCGCAGGAGUGGGCCUUUCCUACAGCGUCGAGUGCUUACUGCUGCUCAAUGUUGUAUUACAAACUUGAUUUCUUAUGUCCUCAGAACUCCUCAGCUUCCUAUGAAAUAGAAUUUCUACUUACUGCCUGCUUACUCCUGCGGGAUGCUAGAGAAGUCCCUGGGUUAAUUUAUGCUUAAGUGCUUUGUUCAAGUCAAUAAUAAUCCUAAUGGGGGCUAUUAAGACGUCGCCCAGACAACGGACUGACUGUCCCCCUCCCCACCCCCAUUUCCUGCUAGAGGAUUUUUUCCCCCACGUCUCCCUUGGAGUAGGAUUUGUGAUAGAUGAUAUAUGUAAAUGAGCAAUCAGUUCCGCUGAAGAGACUGUGAGGCAGAGGAAAACACCCCUGGUCUGCUCACUUGAGCUCUCUCUCCAACGUGGUGCUCAGGCUGCUGAGUGUCGUAUGGCUGUAUGGCGCUUGUGCUGGUCUUUGUCUUCAGCCCUGCUAGGUUCACAGCACGCCGCAGGAGCUCAUUGGACAGACCAGCACUGUACUGUGGGUAUCUUGUCACUGGGGGGCUGCGGUGGGAGUGUGGAUCAUGAAGGAAACAAACAGUUAGCAGUUCGGUCACAUUGACCAGUGUACGAAUACCUAAGAGCCACAUGCAAAUAGAUCAUUGUAUAAUUUAUUUUUAAAAAUGACUUCAAAGAUUUGUAGGAUUUUUUUUUUUUUUUUUUUACUUUAGCUGUGUGUGUGCAUGUGUGCACGCACGUGUGUGUUGUGUGUGUAGAAUAUAUUUUGGGGUUCAUAAUCGGGAUUCAUUUCCUUAACUUCAAUAUACACUGAUAGCCAGUGCCACCAAUACUUUUGUUCGUUUGCGAGUGACUAAAUAGUGUUACAGCAUGCAGCCAUUUUGCUCUCAAAAGAAAACCAGGGACUGGAGAAAUGGCUCAAUGGUUAGGAGCACUGGCUGCUCUUGCAGUGGACCUGGGUUUUGUUACCAGCAUCCACAUAGUAGCUCAUAGCUCUCUAUAGCUCUGGUUCUAGGGGAUCCAAUGUCCUUUUCUGGUCCCCAAGGACACAGCAUGCAUGCAAUAAGCAGGCAUAUAUGCAGGGAAACCCUCAAACACAUAAAAUUAGAAAUGAAUCCGUACAAAGCUUUAAAAAAGACUCCCUAUAAAGGAAAACAAGGGGAAGCCAGUGUUGGAAGAUGAUGUACCGAGAAAGAUGGAGGACCAUUCAAAGCCUGCAUUCAAGUUUUAAGAUCUACUCGGACCUUCAUGUCCAUUGUCCCCCCCCUCCACCCCCCAGCUCUGCUGUACACAAGUUACCUGAAAUCUAAAUACCUUUGACAUUUUGGUUUUUACAGGCAAGGAUCUCACAUAAUCCAUGUUGGCCUAGACCUCCUUAUGUAGCCAAGGAUGGCCUUGAACUCUUAAUCCUCUUGCUUCUUCUCUCCAUUGUCUGGGAUGAAGGAGUGUCCCCCCGCACCUUGCCCAGUGGGCCCAGAUUUUAAAGGCUGUGCUACAUCUCGAGGAGGCAGGGGUCGAUGUGAAGUAAUGAAUCGAUGACCCCAGAGCGCUGUGGAAAGGAAGACUCCAUUGUCCCCCAAGCCAUGGGUCUCACUUAACCCUUUGCUUGGCUGAGGAAUCCCACCUCACCAUCCAGGCUUGCCCCAUGUUUUCCAGAACAAUGGAAGGUAAAGACUAGUUUUCUGUAUAAUGCUAUGAGGUUUUGAAACUGGAUUUCUAAAAGCAUACGUAUUUUAAAUGGGGGGUUCUGUUAGCAUAUCAGAUUUAAUUGGUUCAAGAAAACUGAAAAAGAUCUUUACAUGGGAAGUUAAGAAAAACAAUGUGGAUGGCCAGAGACCUUAGCUACUCAAAGGGCUCUGCACAGUUGCUGUGUUGGCUACUUUUCUCAGUGGGGUGUGUACUGGCUGGCUUUGUGUGUCAUCUUGACACAAGCUGGAGUUAUUACAGAAAAAAGGAGCCUCCCUUGAGGAAAUGCCUCCAUGAGAUCCAGCUGUAAGGCAUUUUCUCAAUUAGUAAUCAAGGCAGGAGGGCCCGGCCCAUUGUGGGUGGUGCCAUCCCUGGGCUGGUGGUCCUGGGUUCUAUAAGAGAGCAGGUUGAGCAAGCCAGGGGAAGCAAGCCAGUAAGGAACAUCCCUCCAUGGCCUGUGCAUCAGCUCCUGCAAGUUCCUGCCCUGUGUGAGCUCCUGACCUGACUUCCUUUGGUGAUGAACAGCAAUGUGGAAGUGUAAGCUGAAUAAAUCCUUUCCUCCCCAACUUGUUUCUUGGUCAUGUUUUGUGCAGGAAUAGAAACCCUGACUAGGACAGGGUGACAUAAACAUCUGGUGGGGGUGGAAGUGGGGAGCCUGUCUUACACUUUGAAGGUGGUCUCUCUUUUGCAACUGUGAGUCUGCA
rnacentral:lncRNA from 1 species